AGAGUUUGAUCCUGGCUCAGAAUCAACGCUGGCGGCGCGCCUAACACAUGCAAGUCGAACGAGAAAGGGGAGCAAUCCCUGAGUAAAGUGGCGUACGGGUGAGUAACACGUGGAUCAUCUACCCCUUAGUUUGGAAUAACCCUGGGAAACCGGGGCUAAUACCGGAUAAGCUCGAGAGAGGAAAGCAGCAAUGCGCUGAGGGAGGAGUCCGCGGCCGAUUAGCUAGUUGGCAGGGUAAAAGCCUACCAAGGCAGAGAUCGGUAGCCGGCCUGAGAGGGCACACGGCCACACUGGCACUGAAACACGGGCCAGACUCCUACGGGAGGCAGCAGUGGGGAAUCUUGCACAAUGGGGGAAACCCUGAUGCAGCGACGCCGCGUGAGCGAUGAAGCCCUUCGGGGUGUAAAGCUCUUUCGGCAGGGAAGAUUGUGACGGUACCUGCAGAAGCAGCUGCGGCUAACUACGUGCCAGCAGCCGCGGUAAUACGUAGGCAGCAAGCGUUGUUCGGAGUUACUGGGCGUAAAGGGUGUGUAGGCGGUUGUUUAAGUUUGGUGUGAAAUCUCCCGGCUCAACUGGGAGGGUGCGCCGAAUACUGAAUGACUAGAGUGCGGGAGAGGAAAGUGGAAUUCCUGGUGUAGCGGUGAAAUGCGUAGAUAUCAGGAGGAACACCGGUGGUGUAGACGGCUUUCUGGACCGUAACUGACGCUGAGACACGAAAGCGUGGGUAGCAAACAGGAUUAGAUACCCUGGUAGUCC
rnacentral:rRNA from 1 species